UACGAAGGGGGCUAUCGUUGCUCGGAAUCACUGGGCGUAAAGGGUGCGUAGGCGGGUCUUUAAGUCAGGGGUGAAAUCCUGGAGCUCAACUCCAGAACUGCCUUUGAUACUGAAGAUCUUGAGUUCGGGAGAGGUGAGUGGAACUGCGAGUGUAGAGGUGAAAUUCGUAGAUAUUCGCAAGAACACCAGUGGCGAAGGCGGCUUACUGGUCCGGUUCUGACGCUGAGGCGCGAAAGCGUGGGGAGCAAACAGG
rnacentral:rRNA from 1 species